rnacentral:rRNA from 1 species
UAGGGAAUCUUCCGCAAUGGGCGAAAGCCUGACGGAGCAACGCCGCGUGAGUGAUGAAGGUCUUCGGAUCGUAAAACUCUGUUAUUAGGGAAGAACAAAUGUGUAAGUAACUAUGCACGUCUUGACGGUACCUAAUCAGAAAGCCACGGCUAACUACGUGCCAGCAGCCGCGGUAAUACGUAGGUGGCAAGCGUUAUCCGGAAUUAUUGGGCGUAAAGCGCGCGUAGGCGGUUUUUUAAGUCUGAUGUGAAAGCCCACGGCUCAACCGUGGAGGUUCAUUGGAAACUGGAAAACUUGAGUGCGGAAGAGGAAAGUGGAAUUCCAUGUGUAGCGGUGAAAUGCGCAGAGAUAUGGAGGAACACCAGUGGCGAAGGCGACUUUCUGGUCUGUAACUGACGCUGAUGUGCGAAAGCGUGGGGAUCAAACAGG